GGGUUUCUGCUUUUGCUUCUUCUUCCUUCUCUCUUGCCUCCACCAUGCAAGAAGUGCCUUUUGCCCUCCACCAUGAUUGUGAGACCUUCCCCAGCCACGUGGAACUGCUGCAGGGCAGUGGCGUGAUCUCAGCUCACUGCAACCUCCACCUUCCGGGUUCAAGCGAUUCUCAUGCCUCGGCCUCCCGAGUAGCUGGGACCACAGUUCCUGUAAACAUCUGUCCAGGGCCUGAGCUCAGAAGGCAGAAUCCGUCGUGGAGCGUGUCCAACUCCUACCCCAAGAGCAGCCUCCAUGUUUACCCACGGACUGGGCUCACACACAGGCAGGCAGCUCCGAGCUCUGAGCACCUCAGCAUCCUUGGACUCUGAGCUAGCGUGGUCACAUGUCGGGGGGACAGAGUUCCCCAGCCCUUACCCUGCAGUCUUGCUUCUGAUAGGGAAACCUUGAGCUCGUAGUGACUGUGGGGCUGGCUCUCCAGGACAAGCCCCUCCAGUGGAGCCAGGAACCAGGAUGGAAGGUUGGGUUUGGGGGUGGACUGAUGGCCUGGAGUUCACUGCCACCUAUUUUCUUUUCCUCUUUUUCCAUCUCACCCAGAGCUGUGGGAAGAGGCCUUGACAACAGGUGAGAUUUGGGGCACCUGACUGUGACUUCAACCCAGCAGGUGGGGUUGGCCCAAAGCAGUUCCCCAGCUUGUCCUCUCAGGUCCUCUGGACACCCUUCCCCACCACACAUAACCCUGGACCUUCACAGCUCCCACACCACCAUCCACACCUAGGAAAGGACAUCGGACUGGAGGUCAGGGGCCUAGGAUUCAAGUCCCAGCUCUGCCGACAGCUACCAGUGUAUUCUUGGGCAAGUCACUGAACCUCUGUGGGUCCUGAUUCCCUUACCUGUAAGAGAGUGAUAAUCAUAAGGCCCUCUGCAUUGCUCUAAGGAUCAAGAUAAUGCUUGUGAAAGUCUUCACUGUACUCUAAAGUGUGAUUAAUAUAUAUUCUUUAUCCUGGAAUCUCCUAUCUCCUUUGAGUCC
rnacentral:lncRNA from 1 species